rnacentral:misc_RNA from 1 species
GGAAGGAUCAUUACAAAUCCAACGUCUCUUUACCGAGACCUCGUUGAACUGUUCCGCUUGGAUAGGAGCGCUUGAUGUCUUCACCGUCAUCAUUCGUCUAUCCUUGCACUCUCCUUUAACUAGUGUGACUGUUGCUCAUUUGUAUGUCUCUUGAACAAAAAACAAGAAACAACUUAUAACAAUGGAUCUCUAGGCUCUUGCAUCGAUGAAGAACGCAGCCAAACGCGAAAUGUGUUAUGACUUGCAAUCUUCGCGAAUCAUUUAAUCUUUGAACGCAACUUGCACCCUCGGGCUUGUCCCUUGGGUAUACUUGUUUGAGUAUCGUCUAUGCCCUCAUGCAGAACCUCGUGUUCCGUAUGGAUUUGAGGCCUAGUGGAUCUCGCCAUCCACUUGUCUUUAAAAGCAUGGUCUUGCUCCACCUGGACAAGUCACGCCUGGGAUCGCGAACGUGUUGCCCUUAACAGGGCAGCGCUGACGCCUCUCCAGGGGCCAACUUGGGAUAACGUCCAUCGAGUUCGGCUACUUGCUCCUAUCCCUGUCCUUCAAAAGAGGAGAGGGGUGGACCCGGGAGUUGCACACGCUUCACGGCGUGCGCUGCUCUGCAAGCCAAAGGAACGAACCUGCUAGGUGCAAUGGCGCAAGCCGCGCACCUGGUCAGGCUCAACACCAUCUGACGUACCGAUCUCAAAUCAAGUAAGAUUACCCGCUGAACUUAAGCAUAUCAGUAAGCGGAGGAAAAGAAACUAACAAGGAUUCCCUCAGUAACGGCGAGUGAACCGGUAAAAGCUCAAAUUUGGAAUCUGACAUCCGUGAGGGUGUCCGAAUUGUCAUUGAAAGGGUCAUCUUGUGCCGACCGGAAGAGUCCAAGUCCUUUGGAACAAGGCGCCAGAGAGGGUGAAAGCCCCGUUCAGGCUCUUUGACACGGGAGGCAAUAUCAAGGUGGCCCAACGAGUCGGAUAGUUUGGGAAUGCUGUCCUAAAUGGGUGAUACAUGUCAUCUAAAGCUAAAUAUGAGCAAGAGACCGAUAGCAAACAAGUACCGUGAGGGAAAGAUGAAAAGGACUUUGAAAAGAGAGUCAAAAGUACGUGAAAUUGUUAUAAGGGAAACGAUUCAUUCUGCGCCAGGACAGGACGUUCCAGGGUGGCCCUUGGGCCGCCUGUAUCACGUCCUGACCCGGUUGAUCCGCUUACGGUGCCUUGCAAACGCGCUCAGGGAAGGUGGCUCCCCUUCGGGGGGACGCUUUAUAGCCCAGGGAAGGCCGCAGGUGCUCGCCGUAAGUGUCCACGUUUGUGGAGGCAGGCAGCUCGACGUAGCGGUCCAAUUUGGCCCGUGUCCGUCUAGGCUGUCCCGUCAUCAACGCUGUGGAGUGAACCGACCCGUCUUGAAACACGGACCAAGGAGUGCAACUAUGAUGCGAGUCAUUGAGUGGCAAACUCAGCGGCGCAACGAAAGUAAGCUUCGGCACGUCGGACGGGGUCUCCUACAAGAGGCUCCUGCACGACGACCCGGUCCUGACCGCUGGUCUGGAUCGAGGUAGAGCAUCAUGGCUGCGACCCGAAAGAUGGUGAACUAUGCCUGACUAGGGUGAAGCCAGAGGAAACUCUGGUGGAGGCUCGUAGACAUUCUGACGUGCAAAUCGAUGUUCAAAGUUGGGUAUAGGGGCGAAAGACUAAUCGAACCAUCUAGUAGCUGGUUCCCUC